rnacentral:lncRNA from 1 species
UGCAAUUAUAUUAACCCAAAAUAAUGUUAACCAUUGCCAACUCAUAGUGGCAUUACCAAUCAAAAUAUACAUAUAUUGUCUAAGUCAUAUAUCUUAGUAAUUUACAUCGCGUUUAUCUAUACACAACAAAAAGGGACUCGACUUCCAGCGGAGUGAGCUUGGUGAAGGUACAGCUAUUGAAUGCCGAGAUACCUACCAAGGAGACGAAUCUACGUGGACACCUCGACCUAGGUUCCAACUGCCUCCUGAUCUGAAAACAUGAAGUUGAAAACAGUGAGUAUAAACCUAAUGAGUGAACAUAAGAAGGGAACAAGCAAACAAUAUGAAGAGAUUUUGAAAACAUGAUGCACUUUAGUUACAAACAAUGCAAUUUAGUUUAAUUUCUUGUAAAGCCUCUUAAUUCAACCCUUGGUUAUUUAAUUCCUUAGCAUUGAAAAUCCAUGAUAAACCAUGAAGUUGAAAAGAAUGAAAAUUUCAACAAAUGUCCAUGCAAGACAAAUAAAACAAAGGGUUUCUCGCUGCAAUGAAAUUCGGACCAAAAUUUCGAACCACCCGAGAGUUUCUCGCUGUAGCGAAAACAGAGCCAGUGCACACCCUCCCCCAACUCGAGACUUUCUCGUUGUAGCGAGAUUCAUUUUCGCUGUAGCGAGAAUCUGGCCAGAUGAAGUUAGGGGAAAUUUUCACUGCUACAUAAAUCCAAUACUGUUGCAAUGAAAAUCAGCUUAAACACAUUUGACAAUAAUCAAGUUUCAAUAGUCAAUGCAAUGACAUAUUAAUUCCAAACCUCUCUAUAUAGUAAAUAUAUAUAUAUAAGCAUAUACACCACCACUGCCUCACCCAGCUCAUGUGCAUUCCCACACCGCACAUAGUCGGAGUCAUCGUGUGCAUCCCCCACAUCGUGCACAGAUAAUACCAUCGUGUGUAUCCCCCAUAUCGCGCACAGGCAAUAUCAUCAUCUAUACUCCCACACUCGUCAUCACCGGCAUGUGCUCCCCCACAUCAUGCACAUGCACGACUAUAUUUAUUACACAAUAUCACCUCUUAAUGCACAACACAUAUAUGUUUAUAUCAACAUAAUAAAUGAGUACAUGGAUUCAUCACAGUCACAUUUCACAACACAACACAAAAAAAAAAGUUUCAUCAAGGGCUUGUUCUCGUGUGCAUUUUGGAGAAAAAUCAAUUAAAAUAUUUCAAGUGAUCCAUUCAAACAUAUAUACAUUUACCCAAAGCAUUUUAAUGCAAGUUCACUCAUUUGGUUUUGUUAAUGCUUUUAGAUUGACUCCAAUUUCAACUAAUGCUCCGAGUGAAGGUGUGGGCCCUCGUUGGAACUUAUCACACACAAUAAUAUCACAACCAACUCAAUUUACAUAAAUGUUACUCCAAAAGCUAUUUUUUUUUAUUCAAACUUUACUGGUUAUUCCUAACUAACUUCCAAUUAAUUUGACUGGAUAUCUAUUCUCCAUACUCUAGUAACACUAGAAAUAAAUAAACAAACCUAAAAAAGAUAAAACAACUCUCCACAAUAAAACAGCCCACAAGUUAAAUUAUUGACCUUCAUCAACAAAUUAGAAAUAAACCCUAACUCAUUACUCACCUUAGGGUUUUUUUGUAGUUGAAUUCCUUUUCAAAAGCUUUCAAGCUAUUGUGAAAAAUCUCUCUUUCUCUCUCUAAAAUGUCCAACUAGUGAGAGAAAGUAUUAAGGAAAGGCUUUUGAGGGUUCUUGAGGUGUAGAAGUGGAAGAGCAUGAAAACCUUAUAAAAAGGUGUAGAAAAACAUGAGAAAUGGAGUUAAUUUGGGAAAGUUAUAAAGGUUUCAAGGGAAGCUUCCAUGGAAGGUGCAAAGAAACAUGAAAUGGAGAGAAU